GGAAAAAGGAGAGGGUCAAAUACCCACAUCCUGCUCCAAGCAGCAGAACCUCCAAGAAGCCAAGCAGGCCCAAGGGGGCAGGAAACUCCCCUGAGUGUGCGUGCACCCCUCAGCCAAGAUGGAUCUUGAAGUGAAGGCUUCUGGGAGGAACAAGACUCAUGGACUGGCAUUAUCGCCUGACUUUUGACCCACAAGGAGAAUUUACGAAUUGAUACUGAGGCCAUCUGACGUGAAAUGACUUGGCUGAAGCCACACAAGGAAUGGGAAGACAGAGCUAGGACUGGAACCCAGAUUUCUUGUUUCCUGGACAACUGCUGUAUUCCUGCACUCUGCCAGCUGCCUCUGUAAUUGUGAAUGUACGCACGGAGAAGCCUGGUGGGCUACAGUCCAUAAGGUCACAAAGAGCCAGACACGACUGAGUGACUGAGCACAGCAUGCAUGCACAAUCCCUUUAACUGAAAAUGCUAGGAAGAUGUGUGGCUCUUGGG
ensembl:lncRNA